GAUGAAGAACGCAGCGAAAUGCGAUAAGUAAUGUGAAUUGCAGAAUUCAGUGAAUCAUCGAAUCUUUGAACGCACAUUGCGCCCGCGAGUAUUCUCGCGGGCAUGCCUGUCCGAGCGUCAUUUCAACCCUCAGGGCCCGCCUGCUUGCAGGCGCGGCGCUGGUGUUGGGGAUCGGCUACCCUGCCGUCCCCCAAAUACAGUGGCGGUCUCGCUGCAGCCUCCCCUGCGUAGUAGCAACACUCGCAUGCGGAGCGCGGCGCGGCCACGCCGUAAAACCCCCGACUUUCUGAACGUUUGACCUCGGAUCAGGUAGGAAUACCCGCUGAACUUAAGCAUAUCAAUAAGCGGAGGA
rnacentral:misc_RNA from 1 species